rnacentral:rRNA from 1 species
AUUGAACGCUAGCGGGAUGCCUUACACAUGCAAGUCGAACGGAGUGGCGAACGGGUGAGUAAUGUAUCGGAACGUGCCCAGUAGCGGGGGAUAACUACGCGAAAGCGUAGCUAAUACCGCAUACUAUCGGAGCAGCCGAUAUCGGAUUAGCUAGUUGGUGGGGUAACGGCUCACCAAGGCGACGAUCCGUAGCUGGUCUGAGAGGACGACCAGCCACACUGGGACUGAGACACGGCCCAGACUCCUACGGGAGGCAGCAGUGGGGAAUAUUGGACAAUGGGCGAAAGCCUGAUCCAGCCAUCCCGCGUGUGCGAUGAAGGCCUUCGGAUUGUAAAGCACUUUUGGCAGGGAGGCGGUACCUACAGAAUAAGCACCGGCUAACUACGUGCCAGCAGCCGCGGUAAUAC